GUGAGGAAUUUUCCGCAAUGGGCGAAAGCCUGACGGAGCAAUGCCGCGUGAAGGAUGAAGGCCUAUGGGUUGUAAACUUCUUUUCUCAGAAAAGAAUUAUGACGGUAUCUGAGGAAUAAGCAUCGGCUAACUCUGUGCCAGCAGCCGCGGUAAGACAGAGGAUGCAAGCGUUAUCCGGAAUGAUUGGGCGUAAAGCGUCUGUAGGUUGUUUAAAAAGUAUUCUGUCAAAGAUUAGGGCUUAACCCUAGAUAGGCAGAAUAAACUUUUAAGCUAGAGUUUGGUAGAGGCAGAGGGAAUUCCCGGUGGAGCGGUGAAAUGCGUAGAUAUCGGGAGGAACACCAAAGGCGAAGGCACUCUGCUGGGCCAAUACUAACACUGAGAGGCGAAAGCGAGGGGAGCAAAUGGGAUUAGAAACCCGAGUAGUCC
rnacentral:rRNA from 1 species